AUUGUUCCUUGCCUUGCUGGCAUUUGGGCAGAGGGUCCUGGUAGCGUGCUGUGGUGUGGGGCUCUGGCAUUUGGAAGCUGAAGCCAGUGGUCACCAGCUCUGUAGACUUCCUGUGAACUCAAAGGAUUUGUAUCUGAAGGCAGCUGAACCGUGGUGGGAGGUGAUGGUUGAAAGGGAAGGUCAGUGGGAUGGGAUGGGAUCACGGCAUCGUGCCCAGGGCUCCCUGCUGGGCCGUGGCAUUGGUGGCAUCGUUGGCUGGCACUGUCGUUGGGGUGUGGACACACAUGGGUCGGAGAAUCAUUAAGGUGCAGUGAGAACAUUCCAGUGGAGAGGAGCUUGUGCCAGAAUUUGCAAAGCAUGAUGAGGGCGAGCUGCACUGCGGGAGGUUCGUCAGCUGACAGAAAAAGCAUUAAAACAAAGCUAUUGUGCAUGUACCCCAAAGCUCCUUUUCCUCUGAGGGUUUGUGUCU
rnacentral:lncRNA from 1 species